UAUGAAAAGUCAAUGUUUUAUCAAAAAAUGAACUCCUUUUCUACUGAUUUUGUAACAUUUUGAAUGUUUCUGAAGAGUUCCUGUAUCCUCGGAUAAAAGUCUGUGCUGGUUGCAGAAAACAACUCGACCUGCACACAUGGUGAAGGUUGCAGAUGUGCUCGGGUCUCUUCUUGGAAGAGGGAUUUUGCAGGAAGCGGUGAGCAGCAAGAGAACUACCAGAACAUUGGUACCUUGACUUCUGAUGUGUGAUGGAGGGAAACGUUUGGAUCUUCUCAGGAGGAUGCAAAUGAAAGCAUGAAGGCUUCAGACAUCACAGAGGCUCAGAAAAAACUCAGAAAAAGACAGAGAAUGAGAGAACAGAAGAAGUUGAAGCAGCAGAAUCUUCUUCUAUGAGAUAUUCUUUUUGAAAUUUAUGCAAAGAGAAUGCAGCUUUGUAAAGGGAGCUGAGCAUAAUCCCAAACACUGAUGAGAAUGCUUGGACAAUGAAGACUCCUGUCUAAGAAGGAAGAUAGAUUUGGAAAAUCUUAUAAAUCAAGAUACCAAAUGCCAGAGAGAGAAACACAGAAGUGGGAAAAGAGAGAAACACAGAAGUGGGAAAAGAGAGAAACACAGAAGAGGGAAAAAGACCCCUCACAAAGAAACUUCAGUGUUCCACUGCUCUUUUUGAAUCAGCUGGGCCUGGAUGAUGGAAAACAGUGUUGACAAGAAACAGGAGUUUCACAUUUAUUAUGCUUCCCCAGCCUUACAAAAUGAUUCAGGUUGAUAUGAUAAUUGAUUACAGUUAAUUUUAUCAUCAGAGC
ensembl:lncRNA